rnacentral:ncRNA from 1 species
GAAAGCUGUGUGCAAUGAAAAAUGCAAGCACGGUUUGGGUAAGGAUUUUUCCUUAUUUAAU